UCCAGUUCUAGCGGAUGAACAAUAUGAUCAACAAUAAUCCUCAGUUCAGGUCUCCAAAUUGCUUCCGCAUCGCACCAUAGUGCAUCAGAAGAACGAAAGUAUUUAGUUUGAUCAUCAUCGGACAGCUUCCAACAUCAGAUAAAAAAGCACAAAAACAAAAGAAAAAGAACUAGCAUGUUUGAUGACAGUAUUUAUCAACACAUAAAGAUGCAAAGGCUCAGAUUUGUUUAACAGGUUUUUCAGUCAUGAAUUUUCAGAAGCAGAACUGGCAUGUAUGCUGGCGGGUGUUUCCGCUCAUCCAUGCUUCCGUCUACAGGAUGACCAACUGUAAACAACAUGCCAUCCUUCCAGUUGUGAAGCACCAAACACAAAAUUUGUUCAGCACUCAAGCAGAAAAAACUAAAAAUCGAGUUCGGGCGGAUGAACAAUAAUCCUCAGUUCAGGUCUCCAAAUUGCUUCCACAUCGCACCUUAGUGCAUCAGAAGAACGAAAGUAUUUAGUUUGAUCAUCGUCAGACAGCUUCCACCAUCAUAAAAAAAGCACAAAAACAAAAGAAGCAGAACAAUGUUUGAUGAAAGUGUUUAUCAACACAUAAAUCUAAAAGAAGAUGCAAAGGCUCAGAUUAGUUUUACAGGUUUUGCAGUCAUGAAUUUUCAGAAGCAGAACUGGCAUGUUUGCUGAAAGUGUUUAUCAUCACAGCCAUGGUCAACCAGAACACAUAAAUCUAAAAGAAUGACAAUAGUGAGAGUUGGUCUUUUUGGCUCAUAUUAAGAAAUUCAACCAUGUUUCCCCUUGUCCUUCAAGAACUAAUCAGAAGCGCGGGUAAGAUUCAAAUCACUGCCACUAAUCAAAAGAAGUCCACAUAUGAGAUGGGCAUAUGUGCAGACAAGAUAACAUGAUAAAAGUCAUUUGACGUUGAUGGGUGACAUCAGAUAAUAAGCGGAGUUUUGUAAACAUAUGAAUGAUUCAGUGCUUAGCAUAUAAUAUUUAACAUCAUUUGCCACCCUGGGUUUGAUAGUCUUUCUUGGAAAAAACAAGGAAGACAAAUAGAGCGCUUUGUGCAAGGCAUCAGAUAAUAAGAUGAGAUUAAUAAUCCACACAUGGAAUUUUCCAUUGAGAGUGUAGGAUAUCAGAUCAUCACUUGCCAGCUCGAAAAUCCAAGAACAAUAUCUGAGUAGAAAAUCUUGGUUAGACCAUUUGACCCAAGAGCAAGGGCAAACGCUGCAAAGGGUUGGUAAGUAAACCAUUUCUCUAUCCGGGCCUGCUACAGCCCCCUCAGAUCCGAGUGCAACUAAGAGGGACACUAGAAGCUAAGCGCAAACAUGACAAAAAGCAGAAGAAUAAAGACGGACAUUUUUUCUCUCAGAUGCCAACCACAAGGGUAGCACAGAUGAUGCAGACAUAUCAACAUGGCAUCAGUUCAGACCGCCCGUCUGCUUGAAACUCUUCAUAGAGAAAGAUUUUAAACCAAAAAUUAACAACAACGAUCAAAGCAAAUAAAAAAUCUAUGCACAUUUGUGUCCAGAUAACAGAAAAAUAUCACAAAAAACCACAAAUAUAAAAAAAGUAUAAUAUGUUGUUUGGUCAGAUCCCUCAGAGUGAUAAUAUAGAUCUCAUCAAUGUAUGAUUCAGGCCACUACUUUUUAACAUCACAAGUCAUCACCGGGAUCCACAGACAACAAUCUCCAAUUAGGAAAGAAAAAUCAACCAGAAACGCUACACAGAUUCCUCAGUUCAAACAAGAAUAUUUAAAGAGUUUCAUAACGAACGGUUGAGCCGUCAGACAAUGCUUUCUAGGCAAAUGCAUCUCCAUCAGACUGCAGCAAUGUUCGCUGCUCGGAGCCCAGUGCAUAUCAUCAUCCAUGACAUCAAGACAUAUACAACCAAACAAUAGCAGAGCAAAAGUGAAGGAAGAGAAUCAACGAACAAUG
rnacentral:lncRNA from 1 species